rnacentral:rRNA from 1 species
AAUGCUUGGGAACUUGCCUUUGCGAGGGGGAUAACAGUUGGAAACGACUGCUAAUACCGCAUAAUGUCUUCGGACCAAACGGGGCUUCGGCUCCGGCGCAAAGAGAGGCCCAAGUGAGAUUAGCUAGUUGGUAAGGUAAAGGCUUACCAAGGCGACGAUCUCUAGCUGUUCUGAGAGGAAGAUCAGCCACACUGGGACUGAGACACGGCCCAGACUCCUACGGGAGGCAGCAGUGGGGAAUAUUGCACAAUGGGGGAAACCCUGAUGCAGCCAUGCCGCGUGUGUGAAGAAGGCCUUCGGGUUGUAAAGCACUUUCAGUUGUGAGGAAAAGUUAGUAGUUAAUACCUGCUAGCCGUGACGUUAACAACAGAAGAAGCACCGGCUAACUCCGUGCCAGCAGCCGCGGUAAUACGGAGGGUGCGAGCGUUAAUCGGAAUUACUGGGCGUAAAGCGCACGCAGGCGGUUUGUUAAGCUAGAUGUGAAAGCCCCGGGCUCAACCUGGGAUGGUCAUUUAGAACUGGCAGACUAGAGUCUUGGAGAGGGGAGUGGAAUUCCAGGUGUAGCGGUGAAAUGCGUAGAUAUCUGGAGGAACAUCAGUGGCGAAGGCGACUCCCUGGCCAAAGACUGACGCUCAUGUGCGAAAGUGUGGGGUAGCGAACAGGAUUAGAUACCCUGGUAGUCCACACCGUAACGCUGUCUACUAGCUGUGUGUGUCUUUAAGACGUGCGUAGCGAAGCUAACGCGCUAAGUAGACCGCCUGGGGAGUACGGCCGCAAGGGUUAAAACUCAAUGAAUUGACGGGGGCCCGC